AGCGAACGCUGGCGGCAGGCUUAACACAUGCAAGUCGAACGGGCAUAGCAAUAUGUCAGUGGCAGACGGGUGCGUAACGCGUGGGAACGUACCUUUUGGUUCGGAACAACACAGGGAACCUUGUGCUAAUACCGGAUAAGCCCUUACGGGGAAAGAUUUAUCGCCGAAAGAUCGGCCCGCGUCUGAUUCGCUAGUUGGUAGGGUAAUGGCCUACCAAGGCGACGAUCAGUAGCUGGUCUGAGAGGAUGAUCAGCCACAUUGGGACUGAGACACGGCCCAAACUCCUACGGGAGGCAGCAGUGGGGAAUAUUGGACAAUGGGCGAAAGCCUGAUCCAGCCAUGCCGCGUGAGUGAUGAAGGCCCUAGGGUUGUAAAGCUCUUUUGUGCGGGAAGAUAAUGACGGUACCGCAAGAAUAAGCCCCGGCUAACUUCGUG
rnacentral:rRNA from 1 species